CCCUAGCGGCGAACGGGUGAGUAACACGUGGGCAACCUGCCCCUAGCACUGGGAUAACUCCGGGAAACCGGGGCUAAUACCGGAUAUGACCUUCGAGGGCAUCCUCUUUGGUGUAAAGGAUUCUGGCUAGGGAUGGGCCCGCGGCCUAUCAGCUUGUUGGUGGGGUAAUGGCCUACCAAGGCGACGACGGGUAGCCGGCCUGAGAGGGCGACCGGCCACACUGGGACUGAGACACGGCCCAG
rnacentral:rRNA from 1 species